rnacentral:lncRNA from 1 species
CCCGGCUGCUGUGUGGAAAAUGGAUGGAGGAGGCUACUGCAGCCAUCCAGGGCCACCCGGAGCUGGAGGGACUGACACUCUCAGGCAUUAGUCAGCUCGUGGCGGUUAAAAAAAGAAGGCUCGAUGGCACUUGUGAAGAACGUCUCUUCCAGCUUUGAGCACCAAUGGGCUGCCACCUCCCCGCUGCACCACUGGCCAAGGAUAGAGGAAUCGGGAACAGGGCGGAGGGCCCAGAAGCUGGGACCCCUACCCCAACGAGGGCUUCCUCCCAGCUCCCACCUCAUGAUGAUGAUGAUAAUAAGAUCCCACCAGUGCUCCCAAUGGGCCAGACCCAAUGGAAAGCCAGACAACAAGGGUUCCCUUGAUUGACAUAAUCCCUGCAGGCCAACCACUCAGGACAGAGAGCAAGGAGAAGGAUGGGAAGAGGAUCUGAGAGGAGAACCACAAGAUCUCCAGCCAAAGUCAAGUACACUUUCCUUAUCUACUGCCUUGUGCUUGCAGAGGCAUAGUAGGUUCUGUUGUCUAUGCCAGCAAGGUCACUAUGGAAGGUACAGUUGUCACUACGGCUAGUUCAUGCUGCAGGAACAAACAACUCCCAAUUCUCAAGACUUCAAACAGGUUGGCAAACUAUAGCCUGCAAGCUGGUCACUCAUCUUGUAAACAAAGUUUCAUCGAGACACAGCCACAACCACCCAUUUACGUACUGUCUGUGCCUGCUUUCUUGCUCCAACAGCAGAGUUGAGUAGCUGUGACAAGCCUAAAAUAUUCAUUCUCUGGCCAAGAAAAUUUGCCAACCCUUGGCUUAAAAAAACACAGGUUUGCUUCUUACUCCGGUUCCCUGUCCAUCUCCAGUUGGCAAGGCUUCUCCUCCAUAACGUCCACAGUCAGGGGCCCAGGCUGGCGAGCCCUCCCUUGAAGAACCCGCCAGUCUCCCUGGCAGGGGAUGCAGACAAAAAAUUGCUCACCAGCUCUUGAGGCUCCCAUCAGAAAGAGACACACCUCACUUCUGCUCACAGAUCUUGGCAGAAAUCAAGUGCCAAGGACGUGCCUAACUUCAAGAAGGCUGGAAAGUACAGCCUCUCCACGCACCCCACAUGAGGAGACCCAGAAAUGGACCCAGAUGGUGGAUAGCACUCCUGACAACUGCGGCAUGCGAACACGGCAAACGGUUGUAAAACAAAGGAAUGAGGACACCGCUGGGUCUUGCAGCAAGCUUCUCCAGAAUCCCUCCUGUGCACAGGGCUCAGGGAAGCCAGACAGGAUUACACCCGGGGGUGGAGAAGCUGGAGAGAAUGCAUGUCACAUGCACGCUCGGCCACUACCCUUUUUUAUGGCCUCCAUGGAAACAGAAGCAGAAACCAGAGGGUCCCUAGGAGCUCCAGCCACACCCACUUCUCAUUCUCUGGGGACAAAUGUCUGAGGGCUCCCUUCUCUCUCCAUCAGGGUCCAGAAGCUGGCCAAGGACUGAAGAGGCUUUGGCUCAAUUUAUG